CUCAAGGAACCCCAGUGUUGAGCGCACAUUCUCCCUCCCCUCGAACCCCACCCCAUCCGGAUCCUUCCUGCUGCCCUCCUACCCACUGGCCUCACUCACAGGAGGCAUGCUUACUCCGACACUGUCCCGCCGUCAUUUAGACUCCUCGCUCUCUAUGUCCAACACAUGGCCCAACAAGAGAGAGACCACCCCUCACCAACGAGACACCAGCCCAUGGAAAGACACGACAGUCACAGCAACGGGAGACCAUCUCUCUAGCAGAUGCUCUCCCCGGCCUCUUCGUGCUUCCCUUGUGAGUUCUUCUUCUACUUCGUCUUUCCGCCGGGCUCUGAGCAGCACCAGGGCAUCCCUAUCUAUCUCGCCAGUUGUCCCACCAGCAGAACAGGUCCAGUCCCAUAAUAGCCAGAGGUCCAAUACUCCGGGCAGCCCUCAGAAUCAACAGCUAGAGAGAAACCUUCAUCUGGACCCUGAUGGAAUCAAUGUGGUGCAAGAAACUCAAGAGGACAAUCCUCUGGACAUGCAGGAGAUGCUGAACUCCCUGCGCUCAUUGCGCAACAGUGCUGCCAAGAAGAGGGCCAAGGUGAGCCUUAGCAGUUCAGAUCCAGACAGCCCUGACUCGGCUGUGAGGCUGGACCUGGGUCUGAACUCACCAUCACACACCUCUCCAAUGCUUACCAGCUCAGCCAGCGAGAGUGGUCUUUCCAGUCUAAGCUCAGUCGCCAACUCUAGCUUCAAUGGCAUCAUAACCAGUCCCGGAAACUCUGCUCCUCCAGGAAUGAAAUCUUGCAUUGCGAGAGUGCCUUCUGCACAACUGAGGUCUUCUGUGGACUUCAGCAGCCUUCAAGGUAUAAAGGGG
rnacentral:lncRNA from 1 species